UACAGAGGUCUCAAGCGUUGUUCGGAUUCAUUGGGCGUAAAGGGUGCGUAGGUGGCGCUGUAAGUCGGGUGUGAAAUUUCGGAGCUUAACUCCGAAACUGCAUUCGAUACUGCGGUGCUUGAGGACUGGAGAGGAGACUGGAAUUUAUGGUGUAGCAGUGAAAUGCGUAGAUAUCUGGAGGAACACCGGUGGCGAAGGCGGCAUCCUGGACCAAUACUGACGCUGAGGAGCGAAAGCCAGGGGAGCAAACGGG
rnacentral:rRNA from 1 species